UGGGGAAUAUUGCACAAUGGGGGAAACCCUGAUGCAGCGACGCAGCGUGCGGGAUGACGGCCUUCGGGUUGUAAACCGCUUUCAGCAGGGAAGAAGCCUCACGGUGACGGUACCUGCAGAAGAAGUACCGGCUAACUACGUGCCAGCAGCCGCGGUAAUACGUAGGGUACGAGCGUUGUCCGGAAUUAUUGGGCGUAAAGAGCUCGUAGGUGGUUGGUCACGUCUGCUGUGGAAACGCAACGCUUAACGUUGCGCGUGCAGUGGGUACGGGCUGACUAGAGUGCAGUAGGGGAGUCUGGAAUUCCUGGUGUAGCGGUGAAAUGCGCAGAUAUCAGGAGGAACACCGGUGGCGAAGGCGGGACUCUGGGCUGUAACUGACACUGAGGAGCGAAAGCAUGGGGAGCGAACA
rnacentral:rRNA from 1 species